rnacentral:tRNA from 5 species
CGGAAUGUAGCGCAGCUUGGUAGCGCGCACGCUUCGGGAGCGUGAGGUCCAGGGUUCGAAUCCCUGCAUUCCGACCA